AAGAAAGUGGUAUGUUACGCAGAAGCGUCUAAAGAUUUUGUUGAUUUACUUUUUAGUUUUCUCACCAUUCCACUUGGGUAUUUGAUGAAUGAAAUGCAUGGUGGACAAUCAAAAGGAAGCAUCCACCACCUAUAUGACAGCGUCAUUGAUCUCGAUGCUACGAAAUACCUGAAGUCGAAUGACAUUAAAGAGAUUCUUCUAAAUCCUAAGAUUGCACCUGGUUCUGGCUAUAAGAACCAGCCACUAGGUGUUAAGGAAGCUGUUGAUAACCAGCAGUACUACUAUGAUCCGUAUUCUUCCAAGCCAAUAAGAACUGAAAGCAUCUGUUCUACACUCCCACUUUUAACUAUGAUGGAUCCCAAAUCACCCUACAAAGAGGGCACAGAAGGUGAUGGAUUUUUGCUAGAUCCUGCAAUGUUCACCGUAAGUGACGAUCGAUCUUGUUGUUACACCAAUAUCGCCUGUCUCAGAACUAUAUUUACUGGAAAAAUUGAAGAUACCUUUGAAUGACAUCCAUGUCUGCGAGGUUCAAGUUGGCAGAGAAGAGGUAAGUCAAACUAACUAAUUUCUGCACUCUCUUAUUAGCCAUGAUAUUUAAUAUUUAAUUAUAAAGCUCUUAAGAAAAAUCAUGCCUGUCAACUUCAUGCUUAUGUCUUAGUUAAUUUUGUCUUGAUCAGAACUGUAAGUUUAUUUAUUUUUUAUUCUAUUUAUUCAACCAUACAGAAUUAUAGGAUAGAAGUGGCAUAAAAACUAUUUUACCUGUUCUUCUGAGAUCCUUUUUUGUUAAUGGCAUUUGUUAAAAUUCGCAUCAUAACAGACUCUUCAAACAGGAAUAUUGGUGUGAUGGGCAUUUUUUUUUCUGCUGCAGGCUUCCCGUCUCUUAGCAGCUUCUUUUGUAUCUGAAUCUGCUCUUACUGAUACCUUCCUACGUAAGAUGCCAAAAGAUGCCUUAAUUUCCGAUGUUCUGAAAGAAUAAUCUUGAGGACAUCUGUGUGCUUAAUUGAUCAAGUAUAUUUUCUGGUCAUCUUGAACCUGGUUUUUUAUUAAUGUGAUAAGUAGUCUGUCAUGUGUAGGAGUAAUAUUGAUUCUCAAGACUUUCAUGUAAGUCGAAUUAAGGUGCUGCUUUUGCUAUGAAAAUUGAGAAUGGCGCAUGGGCUUUGCUAAUACAAGCUUGUGUGUUUGAUUUUUUUUUAUUUUUCUGGAGUUGUCAAGGUUAUCUUUUAAUUUGUUUUUAAAAGAUGCAAACAUUUUAUCUAAAAGGUCAAAUUCAGGUCAUGCAAGGUGAUUAAAAAAACAUGGUGAACUUUUUUUUUUAUAUAUAAAAAUUUGAUUUUUUAUUUUUUUAAUUUGAAAAUACUUAAAAAAAUUCUUUAAACCUCGAGUAAUUAAUUCCUCAAUUCAAGAAUUUUUAAAUUGAUUUAAAAACACAAAAUUAAACGGAAAAUAAAAAACCUCACUCAACUCUGAAUUUUUGUUUAGGUGAUAUGAAAGCCAAGAAAAAUUAACUGAGACAAAUAAUAUAGCCCAGCCUAAAAUUAGCUAAACAUGGAAUCAUCAAGUUGAGAAAAAACAAAAAAAAAACAAAUUAGGUGGCAAAAUAAAACGGAGCAAAUACUAUGCGAAUCCAUAUUCCCUCUCACAUGAUACACAAUGAAAGGUUGAUGUUUUUUAUUUUUUAAAAUUUAAUGAAAAUUUAUAAUAUAAUAUAAUUUAUAAUUGUAAUUGUAAUGCAUGUAACAUAAUUUAAAUCAGCUCAAUGAUUUGAUCCUCGAAAAUAAAUUUAUGCCAAACGGAGCAUAAUUAAGCUAACAGAGCCCAAGAUUAAAUUCGGCAAUGACAUUUUGGCAAUGGAUAAUGGGUUGGAAUACAGAGAGCGAUCCACAUUUUACUUUCCUCCUUGUCCUUGGACAACAACUUUUAUAUCUAUCUCUGUUUUUUUUUUGUUUAUAAUUUAUUAAUAUUGAGAAAAAAAUAUUAAUUUAUUUUUUAAUUUUUAUAUUAACACAUCAAAAUAAUUUAGAAAAGAAAAUAAAAUUUUUUUUUUAUCUUUUUAUCUUUUCUAAAAAUAAUUUUAAAACACAAAAAUACUCUUUUUUUUAAGUUUAGUAUCUGUUGUGUCUAUUUUAAAGCUUGUUUGAUAUUGUAAUAAUGGUUGUUUUUAAAAUUAUUUUUUUGUUUAGAAAUAUAUCAAAAUAAAUUUUUUUAUUUUUUAUAAUAGCACAUCAAAAUAAUUUGAAAACAAAAAAUAUUAAAAAAAUAUUAUAUUUUUUAAAAAAUAUUUUUGAUAUGCAAAAUCAAAAUACUUUUAAUAAUUAUAGUUAUUAAUUAAUGAGUAUAAUUCGAGAUAAAUUUUGUUGGUGACUAAUCGAUUGAUUUGAGGUGAAGUUGUGUAAUUCCCUAUCUAACUAAUGAAUGUGGGUUUUCAGUCACUUUCGAUUGGCUGCUGAUCUUCUUGCAAAAAAUUACUGUGAUAGUCUGUUUUGUUUAAUUUUGUGUUUAAAACAUAUUUUUUAAAAAAAAUUAAAAUUUUUAAUUUUUUUAUUUCAAAUUAAUAUUUUUAAAAUAUUUUCAUAUCAUUUUAAUAUAUAAAUAUCAAAAAUAAUUUUUUAAAAAUAAAAAAUUAUUAUUUUAAUAUAUUUUCAAAUAAAAAACACUUUAAAAACAACUACACUUCCCAACAUCCAAAAACAUACUUUCUGGUCCGUGCAGAGCAGUGAUACAACCUUGCUCGAAACGCAUGAAUGAACCCUGUAAGAACACUGUACACCUAAUAAUUGGUUAAUAUCAUCUUAAUUAUAAUUGUAAGCAGCAACAUUGGCAAGCAUUUUCUAAAGCUAGCUUCCAGGAUUCAACUUCCUUGUGAAUCCUGCCUUCUUUUUUUUCUGGAGGAAAAGAAGAGUACUGAGCUGUAACUUUUUAUCCACCAAGUUUUGUCGUCCAUAAAUGUUUGUCUCCUCGGGAAAGAGAAGCUUUGUGUCACCUUUUACUGUUCUGUUAUUUGAAAACAUUUGAAAAAAGAAAGAUGUUUGGACUGUGUGAAUCCACAACGCGAAUGUAUCUGAACGCGCGAACGAACAGUGAGCUCAGCAAAUCUUUUAGUGUUUUGUUAGUUAAUAUAUAGCUAAUAUGAGACAGUAAUAAUUUCUCCUCUGUUCUUUUUUUAAUUAAAGCUUAAUUUCAAUGAAUCAAGACAAAACUUUAUCUGCAGAAAUCCACAACGUUGAUGCUUUCAGUAUUUUAGUUUAAGCAACUUAGCAAAAUUUAAUAAAAAAUAUAUAUUAAAAAAUAAUAUAAAUCAUAUCUUGAAAUUUUACUCAAAAACUUGGACAAAGUCAAUGCUUUGUCUUUAUCUUCUUUUUGACGAGACAACGGGAUUUAAGCUUCAAAACCUGCGUUUGGGGUCCCGAUAAGGUAAUCACCUAUAAAUUCUUCUAAUCGUGAGAUUCUUUUAGCUGAGAUCUCAGUCUAUCUUUGCAUCUCUUGAGUAUGUAAGGGCUAAUGGAGUGAGUUCAUUGAUGUAGAGAAGAUGGGAGAAAUUCGGUAGAAGGCAAAAAAAUAGAAAGAUCUUCUUACCAGGAGUCAGAUUCAAGUGAUCCAAAGACUAGGGAAUGCCCGUCCUUAGUAGGAUUUCCAGUAGUCGGUUUUAGGUUGGGGUGCUAAUAGUAGCAUAGUUGCUUAGUCACCUUCCUCUUACGUAUUACUAUCUAGGGGCUUUUAAGCUGGUGUCUUUACUUAUGUCAUUAGCAAGGUGUAAACUACUCGCUUGGUCGCUGAAAGCCCUUCCCUUCGAAGGAAAUGUACCUGUCCUAGCAAUCUCUGCAGCUCCUUCUUUUUCUUGCUGCUUGGGCCUUAGCCUUGAGUCAUUCCGCUAUCAUUCGAAAUGGUCUAUGUCGUAGAAGGUGAAAUCUCAUAGGCAGAUGUAGUCUGGUAAUCCAGAAGUGAUGCAUUUCUUUAUGAGGGAAACUGGCCCAUAGCCCUCUUCUUUUUAUUUUCAGCGAACCGCGCCCCAUUCUCACUGCCACAAGGCCCAGAGCCCAUUAUUCUAAAUCUAAAGCAGCCUAGCCAAGGCAGGCUUUCGAGCAGGCAGGACAGAUGCCGAUUCUACCUUAAACUUUUAAACUUUUGGGUAAGGUAACAUAAUAUAAUUUAUAUUAUUUUCUAAGUGAAAGUUUUUUGGACUUGAAACUUGUAUAAGUUCACUUUACCUUAUGCUUAAUGUUUAUCAAAUAAAUGAGGAUGGUGAGAUUCGAACUCGUGACCACUUGGUCAUCUAGGUUCUGAUACCAUGUCAAAGAACCAAUUCAACCUAAAAACUUAAGUUUUUAGAUGAGAUCUCAGGAUAUGAUUUAUAUUAAUUAAACAGAGUUCUCCAGAUUUCAUGAUCAGCCGAGUCUCUAACUCACUUUGACCCUUUAUCAUAGUUCCAAUUAAAUUAUUUUAGGAAACUAUGGUGAUUUGAUGAUGCUUACAUGCAGCUGAUAAAAUUGUUGAUGUAAAUUAUGAAAGCCAGAGUUGAAUCCAAAUGAACAAUAUCGAUCCCCUAAAUAAUAAAUUAAACUACAGCAGUUUCCAAUUCACUGCAAUAUCUACUCUGAGGCAAUCCAAUAGCCAAGAACUUACAAUAGUUGCGUAACCGGUUAGUUAAUUGCUUCUUUCUUGAAAGAAUCUUCCAUUAACUUUGCUUGUCUUUCCAUCUUCUCUUAGCUAGAUUGAACUUCCCAUUCCCCUUUCAUGGCCUUUGAUUCCUGUAUAAAACUGGCAAUCUGUUCCACGCCAGCCAUUGCAGGUGUGUUGAUAAGAUCUUUGUUGGCAUUAGCUGUAUAUUGAUUUAGUUGAGAGUUUGUAGGAGAAAGUUUAGUAAUUGAUUUAUUCCACAACUGUACAAGUCCUAUCUGUAGUAGGAAUCCGUAGUUUACAAGAACACUAUCUCUGUGUAUCUAUAUAUAGGAGCACUGUAAACUUAAGUUAAUUCAAUUGAGUGAAAUACAAAUUGAAGAACUCUUUCUUUUCUAACAUGGUAUCAGAGCGAUACAUAAAAACUAUUUUCUUUUUCCUUUAAAUUAUUGAAAGCUGUUAUUGUAACAAUAGCAACAGCACAGAAGACGAUGGCAACCCCUACUGAUUUAGUGGAACAAAAUCAACAAGGAACUGCUGCUAUCCUUGAAGAUUUAACCACAAGAAUGACUCAGGUUUUGACACAAAACCAGACCCCGACAUCUGCAGUGACAUAUGAUACUGCUACACCGAUUACUAUCAAACUGAAUGGAACCAACUACGCUCUAUGGUCCCAAAUCGUUGAGAUGUAUAUCUCAGGAAAAGACAAACUAGGAUAUAUAAAUGGUGAUCUUCCACAACCAGAUCCGAACGAUCCUACAUUCAGAAGAUGGAGGACAGAAAACUCUAUUGUAAAGGGUUGGUUGAUCAACUCAAUGGACCCCUCCCUAUUCAGCAACUUUAUUCGGUUUCCAACAGCAAAACAGGUAUGGGAAUCAAUUGCUACAACCUAUUUUGACGGGAAUGACAAAUCUCAGGUAUAUGAUUUGAAGAGACGGGUCACUCGAAUAAGACAAAGUGGAGAAUCCAUCGAGUCAUACUACAAUGGUCUUCAAAGCCUAUGGAGGGAAAUCGACUUUCGCCGCCCAAAUCCAAUGGAGUGCGCAAGUGAUAUACAGAAAUAUAACACCCUACUUCAAGAAGAUCGGGUUUAUGUUUUCCUUGAUGGACUAGACGAUAGACUUGAUAAAAUCAGAAGUGAUGUACUUCAAUUACAACCAUUUCCAACCGUUGAACAAGCCUAUGCCUAUGUCCGAAGAGAAGACACCAGACAAUCAGUCAUGCUCACAACUAAUGGUGGUCCUACAGCUUCUGUAAUGGCAAUUAGAGGGGGAAAAACCAGUCCACUACUACAUAUGCCAAAAGGACAAACAGGGUAUGCAGCACCAGGGGGAGGGAAACCAAAUUUGCUAAAGCUCAAAGGACAGACAGAGGGUGGAGGACAUGGUUGUUCUCAUUGUGGGAAUGUAAAACAUACACGUGAAACUUGUUUCAAGCUGCAUGGCUACCCAGAAUGGUGGAAUGAACUCAAAGCAAAGAAACUAAAGGAAGCUAAUGGUGGAACUGGAAGAGCAUCAAUAGCAUAUGCAGAACCCCAACUCUCUCUUACUCCUCUUAUAGAAUCAAAAGCAGAGACUUCUAUUAAUCAUAGUGAUCAAGGUAACGACUGUUAUUAUAACAGCAGUGCUUUCAUAGUCUCUAAGGAACAGAGAAAGGAUGACUGGAUAGUGGACUCUGGUGCAACAGACCAUAUGACCUUCAGUCCAGAUGAUCUUGCCAAUCACACAGAACCAAGAAGAACGAGUAUUUCUAAUGCUAACGGGGUCAUGUAUCCAGUUAUAGGGGCUGGAACAGUGCACUUAUCAUCAUCAAUAUCUUUACCUAAUACUCUUUAAGUACCAUCUCUUACAAAUAAAUUACUGUCUGUAGGACAAGCUACUGAGGAAUUAAAUUGUAUAGCACUAAUGUAUCCAACAUUUUGCUUUUUCAGGAUAUUCUCACGAAGGAGAUCAUUGGGCGUGGUACUAAGAGAGAGGGUUAUACUACAUGGAUGAUUUCAGUUCUGGCAGAGUCAAUACGGUGAAACAUUCAUCCAGCACAAAGGAAACACAGAUUUGGUUAUGGCAUGCUCGGUUGGGACACCCGUCAUUCAGUUACAUGAGGCAAUUAUUUCCACAAUUAUUUUCUGGUCUGAAUUAUUUAGAGUUUAAAUGUGAGACUUGCAUCUUAGCAAAGAGCCACCGUGUACCCUUCCCUAUAAGCUUUAAUAAAAGUGAUGCUCCGUUUGCGUUGAUUCAUUCGGAUAUUUGGGGACCAUCUCCUAUCACCACAGUCCAUGGUAUACGUUGGUUUGUGACUUUUAUAGAUGAUUGUACCCGAAUGACAUGGUUAUAUUUGCUGAAACGUAAGGAAGAGGUAUUUGGUGUAUUCUGUGCCUUUCAUGCUAUGAUCCAGAACCAAUUUUCAGCAAAAAUCAGAAUCUUGAGAUCAGAUAAUGGUGGAGAAUAUGCAAACCAAGAGUUUGUGUAAUAUUGUCACAAACAUGGUCUUCUCCAUGAAUUCUCCUGCAGCCAAACUCCACAACAAAAUGGCGUGGCCGAACGAAAGAAUAGACACAUUUUGGAAACUGCUCGUGCAUUACUAAUUGGGGCACACGUACCUCACCACUACUGGGAUAAAGCUGUAGUAACUGUUGUCCACCUAUUGAAUCGCAUGCCUUCUAAAGUCUUAGAAUUCAAGACUCCAUUACAGGUUCUGUCCAAUCAUGCUCCAUUACCAUCUGUACUCAUGCUUUCCCCACGUGUAUUUGGAUGUGUAGCAUUUGUCCAUCUACAUAAAAACCAACGAAGCAAACUAGAUUCAUGUGCUGAUCGAUGCAUUUUUCUGGGGUAUGUCACAAACAAGAAGGGCUAUUGUUGCUACAAUCCUACCACAAAACGUACCUACAUCACAAUGGACGUCACAUUCUCAGAAUCUGAGAAUUAUUACUCAUCAUCAGUAUCCACUUCUCCUCUUCAGGGGGAGACAUGGAAGGAAGAACAAAAGUGGUGGGAUUGCCCAAUUAUAACACCAACAGUGAAAGAAAAGGAUGCUGCAGUGACAGAAAGGGAUGAUGCAAAUGUUGUUAAUCUUCCUGCAGAUAUUGUAGUAACAACAACACCAGUGGUAGAAAAGGAUGAUACAGUGGAUGAUGUAGCUAUAACAGAAGCAGAUGCCACAGGAAGUGUUACAACAGACGAUGCAACAGUGCUAGAAAAUCUUGAACAUCACACGCCCAGCAGACAAACCCCUCUACUUCUUGUACCCGACAAUGAUCAUUCCUUGCCAGAGAAUAUCCAUAAGGUAACCUCUCUUUCUCCACCUCCUAACCCUAUUUUGGAUACUCCUGUUGGUUAUCAGUUACCUGCCAGGCAUAAUAGGGGUAAGCCCCCAGCUCGAUAUUCACCCAGCUCGAUAUUCACCCAGCACUGAAGGAAAACAAUCACAGUAUCCUAUCUCUAAUCAUGUAACUACUCAAAGGCUGGCCAAACCUCUCAAAGACUUCACCAAUAAGUUGUCUGCUUGCCAUAUCCCUCAUGAAAUUCAGGAAGCCUUAACUGAUCCUACAUGGACAAGAGCAGUAGAGGAAGAUAUGGAAGCGCUAGAAAAGAACAGAACAUGGGAACUUAUUCCGCUGCCAGAGGGGAAGAAAACAGUUGGGUGUAGAUGGAUUUUCUCCAUUAAGCACAAAGCAGAUGGAACAAUUGAACGAUACAAAGCAAGAUUGGUAGCCAAGGGAUACACACAGACGUAUGGAGUGGAUUAUCAGGAGAUGUUCUCUCUAGUAGCAAAACUAAAUACUGUCAGAGUAUUAUUAUCUUUGGCAGCAAAUUUAGAUUGGCCACUACACCAAUUUGAUGUCAAGAAUGCCUUCCUUCAUGGAGACCUUGAGGAGGAAGUGUAUAUGGACAUCCCACCGGGGUAUACCUCAUCCCCUACCGCUGGAAUUGUUUGCAAAUUACAAAAGGCUUUAUACGGGCUGAAGCAAUCACCACGUGCUUGGUUUGGCAGGUUUAGUAUGGCUAUGAAAAAAUAUGGUUUUCAACAAAGCAACUCUGAUCACACUUUGUUCCUAAAACAACGACAGGAAAAGGUAACUGCCUUGAUAAUUUAUGUAGAUGACAUGAUCAUUACUGGAGACGAUACAGAAGAAAUCUAUAAGUUGGAGAAACAUUUGGCUACUGAGUUUGAGAUGAAGAGUUUAGGAGGACUGAAGUAUUUCUUAGGAAUUGAAGUGGCUAGAUCAAAACGAGGCAUAUUUCUUUCACAGAGAAAGUAUGUGCUAGACCUACUAACUGAAGUAGGAAUGCUUGACUGUAAGCCAGCCGACACCCCAAUGGUUCAGAAUCAGAAACUUGGGGAUUCUUCAGAGCAAGUUCCAACCAAUAAGCUCAGGUAUCAACGAUUGGUGGGAAAAUUGAUUUAUCUAUCACAUACUCGUCCAGAUAUUUGCUAUGCUGUCAGUAUAGUCAGCCAAUUCAUGCAUUGUCCAAGUGAAGAGCAUAUGGAUGCUGUAGUAAGAAUACUUCGUUACUUAAAAUCAGCUCCUGGAAAAGGGCUUCUAUUUUCCAAGAACGAUCAUCUAGAGGUUGAGGGGUACACAGAUGCUGACUGGGCAGGAAGCAUAUCUGAUAGAAAAUCUACGUCUGGAUACUUCACGUUUAUUGGUGGCAACUUGGUCACAUGGAGGAGCAAGAAACAAAAAGUAGUUGCCUUGUCAAGCGUAGAGGCUGAGUUUCGAGGGAUGGCAAAGGGACUAUGUGAACUACUUUGGCUCAGAAGAUUAUUGUCAGAAAUUGGUUUUGGUCCCAAAUCAAGAAUGAACCUGUACUGUGAUAAUAAAGCUGCUAUUGAAAUAUCUCAUAACCCAGUUCAACAUGACCGCACAAAACAUAUUGAGGUAGACAGGCAUUUUAUUAAACAAAAUCUUGAAGAAGGAGUGAUUAAUUUUCCAUUUGUCAGAUCAGAGAAUCAACUUGCAGAUAUCCUUACAAAAGCCGUCUCCAGCAAAAACUUUCAGAGCUCUCUUGACAAGUUGGGCAUCGAAGACAUCUUUGCACCAACUUGAGGCGGAGUGUUGGCAUUAGCUGUAUAUUGAUUUAGUUGAGAGUUUGUAGGAGAAAGUUUAGUAAUUGAUUUAUUCCACAACUGUACAAGUCCUAUCUGUAGUAGGAAUCCGUAGUUUACAAAAACAUUAUCUCUGUGUAUCUAUAUAUAGGAGCACUGUAAACUUAAGUUAAUUCAAUUGAGUGAAAUACAAAUUGAAGAACUCUUUCUUUUCUAACAAUCUUUUGACCUUCGCUUUGCAGUACAAAAGACCGAAUUUUCUUGCUAACAGUUAUAGGGUGUCACUGUUGAAGAUCAAUCAAGAAUUUUCUAGAAUUCCUUAGCUGUUAAGGAAACAUUUGCUGGUGUGAACAAGCCACGAGUCAGUGCCGAUGUGGAAAGAAAAGCAUGUCCAAAGUCAUUUAUCUGCAAUUUCAUGUAGAACGAAUAAUCUAUUUGUUUAUGAGUUCUUGCAACAUUGCAGAACCCAAACAUUUUAGGAGUUUUUGCAUAGGUUCUUUAUUAUUGAAUAAUCUAUUUGUUUAUGAGUUUUUGCACCAAACAUCAUCGUCGGCUAAUUCAAUGGCUAUCUGGUGGAUAAGCUGGUGGUGGCAGGCCUGUGCAUUUGUUUCUUCAAGGAGAGAGUGCUAGGGUUUUAUGGAUGGCAGUGGCUUGGGCUGGUGUGUUGGUGAUGGAAAAGGAUUUUUUUUUUUUUUUUUUUAAUCGGGUGUUUGGACCGUAUCACAAUUAAUUUUAGACUCAUUAAACAUCCUAUAAAUCUAGUAAACAUGUAAAUCAUCCAUGAGAUAACAUACCUACAUAAAUAAAACUUAAAUCCUGGUCCGAAGAAAGGAACAAAUCUCUUUAAUCGUUGAGCUGUUUUUUUUUCUUGGAGUAAAAGAGGAGUGAGCUGUAAUAGUUAUCGGGUGCACUGUUGAAGAUCAAUCAAGAAUUUUCUAGAAUUCUUUAGCUGUUAAGGAAUUAUUUGCUGGUGUGGCCAAGUCACAAGUCAGUGCCAAUGCUGAAAGAACAGCAUGUCAAAAGUCAUUUAUCUUGAAUUUCGUGCUUGUUUCAGAUUUUUAUUUUUAAAAUUGUAUUUGUUUUAAAAAUAUAUUAAAUUUUUUUUUAAUGUUUUAAAUAAUUUUCAUACGCUAGUAUAAAAAAUUUUAAAAUUAUUUUAAUAUAUUUUUUAAAAGACACUUUCGUAUAAAAAACAAAAUGUAUCAAAACACUCUCGUCACAAAAAGUAAAAAGAUUGUAUCUAGUUGUACUGAUUAAAGCAAGAUACAUUAUUUAAUAAUAAAGAAUAUAAUUUCUAUUUUUAUUUUUUAAAAAUUUAUUUAUUUUUAUUUCAAAUUAAUUUUUUAAUAUUUUUAAAUAUACUUUCAAACCGACCACGCAACAGCUCUCUCUCUCUCUUGUGUAAUUUAUUGGGUGCUGUGAGGGGGUGAGAAAAAGAAAGAUACCCAUGUUCAAACGAAUUGAACUAAGAACGAUUUUUUAUUAAAAAAAAAAAAAAGCUGUUAGUAAAAAUAAUUUUUUUUUAUCCCACUACAUCUUGAAUAUCUCAUAUAUAAACUAUAUUAUAUAUAAAUAUAAUAAAUAAUAAUAUGAUAUUAAAGAAUAUCAUAUUAAUUUAUGAUUAGGUAUGAGUGGCGUAAGAAAUAUUACUAAAAUAAGAGUGUUUAUUGUGUGAGUGCUUUAAUAUCAUAUUAAUUUAUGAUUAGGUAUGAGUGGUGUGAGAAAUAUUACUAAAAUAAGAGUGUUUAUUGUAUGAGUGCUUUAAUAUCAUAUUAAUUUAUGAUUAGGUAUGAGUGGUGUUAGGUAUGAGUGGUGUGAGAAAUAUUACUAAAAUAAGAGUGUUUAUUGUGUGAGUGCUUUAAUAUCGUAUUAAUUUAUGAUUAGGUAUGAGUGGUGUGAGAAAUAUUACUAAAAUAAGAGUGUUUAUUGUGUGAGUGCUUUAAUAUCGUAUUAAUUUAUGAUUAGGUAUGAGUGGUGUGAGAAAUAUUACUAAAAUAAGAGUGUUUAUUGGGUGAGUGUAACAUACCAUUAACUAUGGUGUGAUUUUCAUGCUUCACCGCUAAAAAUAAAAGCCUACUGUGUUUUAUUUACUCACCAUUGUAUCCCAGAAUCCAUACCCAACAAUUGGUACCAGAGCUGUUGCCCAAAAUUUGUACCAACAGUCACCACCUCCUUGACUCCAGAUUGGGGUGUCUGGUUGGCUUGCUUGAACACCAUUUCAUCUCAAUCCAUGGCAACCAUUAGCUCGAAGGCAUCUGUGGACAAGAAGAGCUUGGUUUGCUUGAACACCAUUUCAUCUCAAUCCAUGGAAACCAUUAGCUCGAAGGCAUCUGUGGACAAGAAGAGCUUGGCUUGCUUGAACACCAUUUCAUCUCAAUCCAUGGCAACCAUUAGCUUGAAGGCAUCUGUGGACAAGAAGAGCAACAGAGUUGUAUUUGUUGAAUCUGACGAGCUCUUUGUUGACAUCCUUUUCAGUUUUUUGACAAUGCCCAUGGGAACAAUCAUCCAUCUCAUCAGUAAUCUGUCACCGACAAAUGGGAUUGGUUGCAUGAACAACUUAUAUAAAAGUGUUGAAAAUAUAGAUGUUAAGUAUUUCCAGACUGAAGCAUGCAAGGACAUGUUGCUACAUCCUCGUAAUUCCGCUGCAGCCUAUUGUAAGAGCCUAAAACUGAAAAUUGAUGACAUUGAUACUUCAAGUUUCUUUUGUUGCGAGAGUUCCCGAUGUAUUGCUUCUGGCUACAAGUUGUUGAGUCAAUACAAAAAUCUUUAUUGUGGUUGUAGACGUCCCAUGAGCCGUAAUUUGAAUCUAUAAUGCCCGGCACCAUCCAAUAGUGGAUCUGACGAAAGAAAUCGAGGAGUGUUUGUUAAAGAACUGGCCCGAUUUGUUGUAAGUGACUAUUUUCAAGUGAUGCCAGCAUCAACCUCAGCAAGCAUUUCUCUUCUUACAAAGCUUGGAGUCAUGGAUACAAGUAACAUCGAGGAGAGGAUUUUUGACAUUGGAGUAACAGAGGUAUGAUCUAAUAUAUGAGCUGUUGCAGUAUUGUCUAGCCUUGUGCUAUGUACAGGCACCCUUUUAAUGUCUCUGUUUUAGGUUUUGGAAUUGCUGCAGUGCUCAUUGGUAUCAAGGACACCUCUGACCGAAGUUUUGCUUUCUCGCAAGGAAGUUCCCGAGUUAAGAAAUGAAGAUUCCCUUCAAAGAACCUCUCUUAUGCAUGAAAUACUAGAGCAUCAAACAGAAGAAAAUGGUGAGACGUCUGUUAGGCUUGUGGUUUGCAAAUCCAAGAAAGUGGUAUGUUACGCAGAAGCGUCAAAAGAUUUUGUUGAUUUACUUUUUAGUUUUCUCACCAUUCCACUUGGGUAUUUGAUGAAUGAAAAGCAUGGUGGAAAAUCAAAAGGAUGCAUCCACCACCUAUAUGACAGUGUCAGUGAUCUCGAUGCUAUGAAAUACCUGAAGUCGAAUGACAUUAAAGAGAUUCUUCUAAAUCCUAAGAUUGCACCUGGUUCUGGCUAUAAGAACCAGCCACUAGGUGUUAAGGAAGCUGUUGAUAACCAGCAGUACUACUAUAAUUGGAAUUCUUCCAAGCCACUAAGAACUGAAAGCAUCUGUACUCGCGGUUAUACACCCCCACUUUUAACUAUGAUGGAUCCCAAAUCACCCUACAAAGAGGGCACAGAAGGUGAUGGAUUUUUGCUAGAUCCUGCUAUGUUCACAGUAAGUGACGAUCUUGUUGUUGCACCAAUAUCGCCUGUCUCAGAACUAUCCUUACUGGAAAAAUUGAAGAUACCAUUUAAUGACAUCUAUGUCUGCGAGGUUCAAAUUGGAAGAGAAGAGGUAAGUCAAACUAACUAAUUUCUGCACUCUCUUAUUAUCCAUGAUAUUUAAUAUUUAUUAUAAAGCUCUUAAGAAAAAUCAUGCCCGUCAACUUCAUGCUAUGUCUUUUUAAUUUUGUUAAGUUUAUUUAUUUUUUAUUCUAUUUAUUCAACCAAACAGAUUUAUAGGAUAGAAGUGGCAUAAAAACUAUUUUACCUGUUCUUCUAAGAUCCUUUUUUUGUUAAUGUCAUUUGUUAAAAUUCGCAUCAUAUAUAACAGUCUUCAAACAGGAAUAUUGGUGUGAUGGGCAUUUUUUUUUUCUGCUGCAGGCUUCCCGUCUCUUAGCAGCUUCUUUUGUAUCUGAAUCUGCUCUUACUGAUCUUCCUACGUAAGAUGCCUUCAUUUCCGAUGUUCUGAAAGAAUAAUCUUGAGGACAUCUGUGUGCUUAAUUGAUCAAGUAUAUUUUCUGGUCAUCUUGAACCUGGUUUUUUAUUAAUGUGAUAGAUAGUCUGUCAUGUAAGUCGAAUUAAGGUGCUGCUUUUGCUUCAUAAUACCUAAACUAUAGUUGUUUUCUCUUUUGACUCGUUACUUGGGCGUAUAUAUAAUUGCCUGGAAACACAAUUUAGAAAGGGCUUACAGUUUCAGACAAGAUUAAUUUGACUCCAAAUUGGUAGGCAGAGAGUAUCUUGAACCACACCGAAUAAAACUCUCACUUGGUGGCAAAGCAUACACUAGAAAUUAUGCCUUCGCGAGGAAACACAGUUUUUUUAAAAGUUCUAAAUAUCUAUUCAGCGUUCCUGCUAUCUCCUUCUGCAAUCUAUGAUGAAGUCUCAAACAGUAUUUUAAGUUGGUCUGGACUAUUUUGUAAGCUUUUCAUAACGAAUCAUUAAUUAAUUGAAUGGCAGCAUCAUGAAAUGUAAUCAUCAGGCUCCCUCGUAACAAUCAGCUGUCCCAUUGGGGUGACUUGCACCACCUUUUCGACUAUAGAUUCAAAAUAACAAAUGCCUUCAAUCAUAAAAAUCGGAAACAUAACUAUGCCGGUGGAAAUCCACAACAUCGAUGCCUUGGUACUUCAGUGUAUGUAAAACAUAUUUGGUGAUAUACGGAAACAGAAACUUUCAGAUCAGAUAACCUGAAUCUCUUACUUGGAAAUUGUUUAAAAUUCCAAUUAAAUCGCAAGGCAAUGUUAUCUACUCCAAAUUGUCAUUUUCUAUUCUUAAUAAAUUUCUAGUUCAUUUACUGAGCAUAUUUAGGUUUUUGAUACGAAGGAAUUUCAAAACUGGGAAAUAAUCUGUGUUUUUCUGCUGUUUUUUAAAAACUUCGCAGCCAAUACUGUGUAGUUAUUGUCCUGAAACUUCUCUGUAGUGCUACAGCCAGAAGGCCCAGAACAUAAGAUAUAUCAUCUCUUCCCUUUCUAGUUAUUGUUGUCAACAAUACGAAGCUAUAACCCAAGCCUCAGGGGCUGGAACUUUACAUUGCUGCCAUACCGUUCAUUUACUUGUACCACUACCUGAGACAGAGAAUCGAAUAUAACUACGAUAUGGAUUUCUCUGUUUCAGUGAUUGAUCUCCCCAGAACAUCAUUGUGCUGCAUGCUUCACAUCUUUGGUAGCUUCCUUUAUCGAUCUGCGAAAAACCCUUGGCCAAUAUUCCUUCAUCAGCAAAAACUUGAGAAUAGUUUUCAUUGGUGCUGGUUUUGGUUUUUUGUUUCUUUUGUGUGCGCGCAAAAUUUGGAAGCUAUGAGCAUAGGUACAUGAUUAAGAAUAGUACAUUUAAGAUGUUGAAUGAAUAGCAAUGGUAGAUGAGUCUAGUAAACAUAUCAUUAUACAAUAUAUUUCUAUUGGCUCAAUUUACACAUUCUCAUUGCAUAUACAUGCGCCAAGGGCUAGUGGAAAAUCCAGGGAAAUGACUCUGCCUUUUCAGGUCUCGAGUAAAUAAUGUCUCUGGUCCUAGUCUAUAAAGAAGGCUGUUCACCAUGGAUCUUUCUCCAAGGCUGUUUCUGCUUUCAGGUUUCGAAUUUUGGUACGAUGCAUGACAAUUUAAGUAAGAAGCAAUUAGAUAAAGGAUUUCUGUCUUUAAAUUCCUGUUCUAUUCUUGAGGAUUGUAAAUGUUGGGGAAAUAGAAAGUACUAUUAAACAUUAAUUCGCAAUUAUGACUGAUAUUAUGAUUCCCCCAAUUCAUAGCAUGACCCUAGCUGUUAGAACAAUCUAUAGGUGUUUUUGUUGCAGGCUUCACGUCUCUUGGCAGCUUCUUUGAUUUCUGAAAUUUGCGCAGAGUAUGAACUAAGCCUCUUCAGGGCCCAAAUCAAGGUAUCCAUUCCGAAUCUCAGGCCAAAACAAAAGAAUAUUUUGACUUCAUAUCUCGUAACUAUAAGUUAUACAAUCAAAUAGGUGCACGCUUUGGAACACACAAGGAACAAACCAGUUUGAGAAAGGAUCGAAGCAGGUGCUAGAUUGAUACACAGUAGUAGUGUAUGAGCUUCUGGAAUUUGUCAAGUUACAAACACUAUUAAGGUGGUCUAGUCUAUUUUUGUGCUUCUUGUAAUGAAAUUGAACUGCACGGUGAAAUGGUUUCUCUGCAGCACCACCUGUAAUCAUCAUGUUCACCUGUAAUCAUCCAUGCCGUUCAAGCAACUAAAGGAUGCAAAAUGGUCGCUCCGCCUUUUGAUUUCCUGUAUUUUAAUUUCUGGCGUUGAGGGCUUCAUAUCUCUGAAUUGGCAGUGAGUCACUAGGCAAUGCUUCACUCGUACAAACCUGAAACAAGAACUAUAGAUUUUAUAAGUUAACUGUUUUUUUUUUAACUUAGUUAAGAUAACCCGGAUUGACUUGAACUUUUUUCUCAAAUCGUAUCCUUUCUCGAAGUUGAUAUUUUUUUUUCAUUUCUAUCUUUUAGGAUUUAGUUAUUAGGCUCUUUGUGAUUUUUUUUGCUUUUUUUUUAUGUGGGAUUAUUAUAAGUUGCGGGUUAGUCAAGUUAACUUAAGUAAAAUUUAGUUUUUUUUAUUGAUUUAUCUUAGGUCUUUUUUUUUUCUAGGCCUUUUAAAAAAAUAGUUUUUUUUUCAUAUUGUGGAUCAUGUGGUAGUCGAGUUAACUUGGUUUUUUUAUAUUUAUAUUUUUUUAAAAAAAUUUAUUUCAUCCUUUAACAUUAGAUUAUUGUGCCUUGAGCUUUGUGAUUCUUUUCGAUUUUUUUUUUGUUGGGUUAUCCCAAAUCACAAGUUAGUCAAGUUAAUCGGGUUGACUUGACUUUUUUUUUUAAUGUUUUUUUAUUGAUUUAACUUCAGUCUCUCUAAAAGCAUUUUCUUUUUAUCUCGGAAUUGCAUAAAUGGUGGUAGAUUUGUUAAGUUAAUCAAGGUUGACUCGAGUUAUUAUCUAUCGCCUAGACAUCUUUUUUUUAUAUUGGAAAAAAAUUGACUCGUCCUGUAGGGUAGUGUGGGCCACCCAUCUAGUAUAAAACUAAAAAAAAAGAGGGUUUCAUUGUAUUCCUCCUGGCAUAAGACUAUUCACUUGGAUAUUGUUUUUUUUUUUUUUUACUUCCCUAGUUUUUCCUUUUGAUCUAUAUAUAUAUAUUUUUUUUAAUUUCAUCAUUUAAUGUUAGGUUUAUUUUGGAUUAUGCUUCAUAUUUUUUUUAAUUUACUUUCUAUGAGAUUAUCCUAAAUUUAUGACUCGAAUUACAAGUUUAUAUAUUAACUCAUUUGACUCAAAUUUUUUUCUUAUUUUCGUAUGUCUUUUUUUUCAUCUUAAAUUUGUCUUUCAAAACUAGGUUGAUUGGGGAUUAGGAUUCGUUAUUUUAUUUUGUUCCACUUUCUAUGAGGUUAUUUCCAUUUUAUAACUUGGGUCACAGGUUAACCUUGGUUGACCUAAGUUAUUUUUUUAUGUUUUUUUUAAUUGAUUUUUUUUCAAUUUCAUCUUUUAAUAUUGAGUUGAUUUAAAAUUGGACUAAAUAAUUUAUUUUGAUUUACUUUCUAUUAUGUUAUCCUGGUUUCAUGACGUGAAUCACAAGUUUGUCAGGUUAACCAAAGUUGACUAAAAUCAUUUUUUUUAUUUUUUAAUUAAUUGUUUUUAAGUUUCAUCCUUUAACAUUGAGUUUAUUGAAAAUUAAACUUUCUAAUUUGUUUUGAUUUAUUGUUCAUGGUGUUAUUAUGAUCUUAUGACUUAGUAUACAAGUUGAUAGGUUAACUCGAGAUGACUCGAAUCGAUUUAAUAUAUUGUUCUCUCGAUGUUUAUUAAAAACAUAUCACUUUAAAUAUUUAUUUUGAAUCAAAUUAUAUUUUUAUCGGUUUUCUGAAUUGUAUUUAGACUCGUCAAGACGACCAAGUCACUUCAGAUCAAUCUCCAAACAAUUUUAUUUUUUACUAUUAGAAAAAAUUUAAUCUGACUCGCAGUGUAAAGCAGGGCAAUUAUCUAGUAAUAUUUAAAAUACAUCCUUAAUUAAUCUAAUCUAAGAAAAAUAUAUUUUUUUUUAAUAUACUAAAUAUAUUUUAAAUAAUUUUAUCUUCAACAAGUUAGAUAUAAGGUGUUGGAAAAAAGAUUUUUUUUAAGAAAAAAGGCUAAGGGAGCAAACGAGCAUGGAAGAUUGAGCAUGUCAAUGCCAUGAAAAAAAAAAAAGGCGCAUGGGCUUUGCCAAUACAAGCUCGUGUGUUUGAUUUUUUUAUUAUUUUUUUGGAGUUGACAAAGUCAAAUUCAUGUUAUUUUUAAAGGAUGCAAUCAUGUUGUCUAAAGGUCAAAUUCAGGUUAUGCAAGGUGAUUUAAAAAAACAUGGGAGAUUUUUUUUUUUGAUAAAAAAACUUAAUUUUUCAUUCAUUUUUAUUUGAAAAUACCUUAAAAAACAUUCUUUAAACCUUAAAUAAUUAAUUCCUCAAUUCAAGAUUUCUCAAAUUGAUUUAAAAACACAAAAUUAAAUAAAACAUAAAAAACCUCAGCCAACCCUAAUUUAUUUUUUUAGGUGAUAAGAAAACACUACAAUGAAAAAUUUUCCCCACAAAAUUGGACCACCCAAUAUCCUUUUCUCUCUUGUUGUUUUAUGGCUAUCCUCUCUCUUCUCUCUCAAGCUAACGGACCAAAACAUGAAGAAAAUAAAGCACCGGACCAAAGUGUAGAAACUUAGAAAAUAGGGAUCAAGAUGAAAAUUUUUAAUUCUUAGAGUCUGAAUUAUGUUUAAUGAAAAAAAAUUGAAUUUGAUAUCGUCAGAUAUCAAUUUAAAACCCAAACUUUUUUAAAAAUAUUUCAAAAGACCCUUGCAGAAUUAACUGAGACAAAUAAUAUAGCCCAAUCUAAAAUUAGCUAAACAUAGAAUGAUCAAAUUAAGAAAAAAAAAAUUAAGUGGCAAAAUAAAACAGAGCAAAUACUAUGCGAAUCCAUAUUCCGUCUCACAUAUUACACACAAUGAAAGGUUGAUGUCUUUUAUUUUUUUAAUUUAAUGAAAAUUUAGAAUAUAAUAUAAUAUAAUAUAAUUUAUAAUUAUAAUUGUAAUGCAUGUAACAUAAUUUAAAUCAGCACAAUGAUUUGAUCCUCGAAAAGAAAUUUUGCCAAACGGAGCAUAAUUGAUUAACAGAGCCCAUGAUUAAAUUUGGUCACAGCUCAUGUGAAAGUUUAUAUGCAAUGACAUGUUUGGCAAUGGAUAAUGGGCUAGAAUACAUACAGAGAGCAAUCGACAUUUUACUUUCCUCCUGUUACUUAGAGCAUCUCUAAUGAGAAAUGCUAUAUUAAAUAGCCAAAUAAAAAAAAUGACUUUUUGAAUAAUGUAAAUAUAACUUUUUAGAUCAUGUGCAUUCCAAUGGCAAAAAGCUAUUUAGAAAAGCCAUUUAUAUUUUAAUAUAUUUCAUGUUAAAUUAAUUUUAAUAUAAUUAUAUAACUAAUUUAGAUAUUUUAUAUAUAAUAUAAUUAUGAUGUUAUUAAUUAUAUAAUUAAUAUGAGUAAUUUAUAAAAGUAAUAUAAAAUUAAUGAAGUAAUAUGAAAGUUAAAAAAUAUAAUUUAAAAUUUAUUUAUAUGAAUAUUUUUAAUUUUAAGUUUUAUAUGUUAUUGUUAAAAAAUUAAUUUUUUAAAAGUAAAUUCAAAUUCAAACUUUGAAAAAAUGACCGCCAACAUUUUAAAUUUUAAAAUUUUAAAAUUUGAAAAAAUAACCGCCAACAUUUUAAAUUUUCAAAUUUCAAAUUUUGAAAAAAUAACCGUCAACAUUUUAAAUUUUAAAAUUUUAAAAUUUUAAAUUUUGAAAAAAUUACCGCCAACAUUCUAAGAUUUUACAAUUAGAAAAAAUAGUUCAUCUAUAAAUAUUCUCAUAUAUCUUAACAUUUUUUCUCAUCAUUUUCUUCUCUUCAAUCUUUGUUAUAUUUCAUUAAAAUUCAUCAUGAAUCAUUCUAAUUUUAAUUUUUAUGAUGCUUUUGAUUUUGAUGAUGACACUCCUGUGUUGGCUUUUCAAGUUGCUACUGUUGUGGUUGCUGAAGAAGAAUCGAAUAAUCAAGGGCGGAGAACAGGGUAUCGUGGCUCUAUUCCUGGUCACAAUAUUGUCAAUCGUAAUAGAAAGGAAGGUGAGUUAAGGUUAUAUAAUGAUUAUUUUGCAGAAAAUCCUAAAUUCACUGAAAGUCAAUUUCGAAGAAGAUUUAGGAUGAGUCGUCGUCUUUUUCUUCGGAUCGCAAAUGCAGUGGAAGCUCAUAAUCCAUAUUUCAAACAAAGGACAGAUGCUCUUGGUGUUCUUGGUUUAUCUUGCCUUCAAAAGGUAACUGCAGCUCACAGAAUACUUGCAUAUGGUAUUCCUGCAGAUCUUACUGAUGAAUAUCUUCGAAUUGGAGAAACCACUGCGAUAGAAAGUCUUAGAGCUUUCGGCAAAGCAAUCGUAGAAUUUUUUGGUGAUUGGUAUCUAAGGACACCAAACGAGGUCGAUCUUUGUCGAUUAUUAUCAAUUGGAGAGCAGCGUGGAUUUCUAGGGAUGUUAGGGAGCAUUGACUGUAUGCAUUAGAAAUGAGAGAAAUGCCCAAUUGCAUGGCAUGGGAUGUAUACUGGUCAUUGUCAUGAACCAACUAUAAUUCUAGAGGCGGUGGCUUCACAGGAUCUUUGGAUAUGGCAUGCCUUUUUUGGAAUGCCUGGAUCAUUAAAUGAUAUUAAUGUUCUUGAUCGGUCACCUAUCUUUGUUGUACUUGCUGAAGGUCGUACUGCUCCUGUCAAUUAUACAAUUAAUGGACAUGAAUAUACAAUGGGAUACUAUUUAGCAGAUGGAAUUUAUCAUAAUUAGUCAACUUUUGUUAAGACAAUCCCAAGAUCAUUAGGAGCAAAGAGAAAAUAUUUUGCAAGCAAGCAAGAGUCUGUAAGAAAAGAUGUGGAGCGGGCAUUUGGGGUGCUCCAAUCUCAUUUUACAAUUAUACAUGGACCUGUUCGAUACUGGGAUGAAGAAACACUUGCAUAUAUUAUGAAAGCUUGCAUAAUAAUGCAUAAUAUGAUUAUUGAGGAUGAAGGAGCAAUGAACCUUGGAUUUGACCAUGAACAUGAAGUCAAUUCCUUUAUAUCAGUGUCACAUGGUGAAAUACCAGAACUACAUGAUUUUCUUCAAACUCAUAAUCGAAUUAGGGAUAGAGCAACUAGCUCUCAACUACAAGAAGAUUUGAUUGAACAUUUGUGGGAACAAUAUGGCAACGAGUAGAAUCUUUAGAUUUGAACUUCUUAUGUUAUCAUAAUUUUCAAGUUUUUUUAUGUUUUUUUUUCAUUAUGUUUGUUAUCUUUUAAGUUAAUUAAUCCUACUUGUUAUUGUUAAGUGUUAGAGGAACUUUAAAAAAGUAUUAUGAAUUGAUAUCAAUUUCAUAACAAUGUAUUUAAAAUAACAAAGAAUUUUCUACAUAUUUAAUUAAAAAUACAUUACAUUACAAUAAAUCAAUCAAAGUUAAUUAAAAAUCAAAACCCCUCUUUUGCAUAAUUUCUAACUUUUUAUUUUGAAAAUACACUGCAGAAAUUGGAUCCAAAUUAGAAACAUCCAUUUUCAUAGUUUGUUCUUCUUUUUCAAUCCUGUCCAAUUCUUGUUUCUCUUGAUUUUGUUGAAUCAUCAUGGCUUGUUGCUCUAACAUAAUUUUCCUGUUUUGUUUCUUCUGAUCCUCAAUUUCAACUAGAGUAUCCUUGAAUUGUUGUAAGAGAUUCGUUACAGUUACAUCCCCAACUUUAUAUUUUCCUUGUCUAUGUUUAAGUCGUUCCUUUGCAGCCUUUUGACCGAUUGGUCUAUCUUGAUAAAUCAAUGGUUCACUAUCUUCUCCUAAACUAACAGAAUCCGGAGUAGAUGGAGUUGAUGAAGCUGGACUUGCAUUGACAUGAUCUUUUUGUUUCUUGUUUGACCUUUGAUGUUGACUUGCACGCUCAAAUUGUCAUUUGGGUUCUUUUCUUAAGAUAACCCAACAAUAUUCUAGUUGAAAUCGUUUGCCAACGCAAGAAGCAUACAUUUGCCGAGCAUCAUUAAUUUGGUAAAUAAAUAAAUAAAUUAAAUAAUGUUAAAUAUAUGUUAAACAAUUUAACAUAGAAAUGAAUAUUAACAUUACCCUUGAUUCUUCGAUCAUUCCACUUUGCUGACGAUUUUCAAUUUGAGUAACAAAUCCAACAAAUUUACCGACUUCUCUAUUUAUUUCUUGCCAUCUACUUGAGAUGCUUAUUUGUGAACGAUUAUUCAAGUUUCCUCCAUUCUCUACAAAGUAAGCAUGUACGCGAGCCCAAACUGUUUUGUUUGUUGUUCAACUCCUGUAAUUGGAUCCUUGCUUGUAUUUAGCCAUGCAGAGACAAGUAAACAAUCCUCCUCUGGUGAGAAAUUUUUACUUCUUUGUGAUUUUUUUGCCGAAUGGACAUUUAAAUUCGAGUAUGUUAAGUCAUCAAUUAAUUGAUUAGAAUCACUUGGUUGAGAGAGAAUAUCUUCUGACUCACUCAUAAGAAAGUUGGUAAAAGAGCUUGGAAAAUUUGAAUCCAUCUACAUUAAAAAAAAAAAAAACUCAAGUUAAAACCUUAUAAGAGAGUGUAAAAGAAGCUCACAUUCAAUGUCUAGCAAUUUUGUAGUUUUCAUAUCGAAUUAAUAAUAAGCAUUGCCUCCUACUUGUUCUAACAUAACAAUUUGACCAUUUUUUGGAACUAAAAGAGAAUUGAUAUACUGGUUUAAUUGCAUUUUCAACAAGACAAAAUAUAAUUGACCUCAAAUUAAAACAGACAAUCAAAAAUAAAUUUUAAAUAUGUACUCUAUCUUUUUAUCAAUAUCAACUACCAUUAUUAAUUCCUCAAUUUUAUCAAAGAUAACAACAUAAAUAAAAAUUGUCUUCCUUAACCCAUAUUAAAAACAUAAAAUAAUAAAGAAAUAAAACUCAUCAUAAAUAUUAAAUUAACAACAAAAGGUCUAAAAAAUCAAGAGAUAUAAAAAAGAAAAUAGAAAAAUCUUUUAAACAAGCAUACCUUUUAAUUUCAGCUAAUUAACACAACCGAUGUUAAUAAUUAAUCGGAGAAUAAUUGAUUCUUGUUUUUAUAAAUUUGAGAGAAGGGUGAGGCACAAUACAAAAAUGUAAAACUACAAGUUUUGUCUUCAUGUAUUUAUAGAAAAUUUCUUCUAUAUUUAAAGAAAAACAAAAAAAAAAAGAGUUGUUGGCCAACGACUAUAAAAAUAGUCGUUGGCCAACAACUAUCAUUUUAGUCAUUUCUACAGUUAAAUGUAGAAAUGGUUGUCAAGAAAACAAAUAGCCAAAAUAGAUAUUUGUUUAGCUCUUUUGUUGGAAUGCCAACAGUGAAAAAUAAAAGGCAAAUGACGUUUGACUUCUUGUUUUGCUGCUCCGUUGGAGCUGCUCUUAAACAACAAGUUUUAUACCUAUUUUUUUUUUUUUUUUAGUUUAUAAUUUAUUAGUAUUGUUAAAAAAAACUGUGAAAAAACCAUUGGCAAUCAUUUUGUAAAGCCAGCUUCCAGGAUUCAACUUCCUUGUGAAGUUUGAAUAGGGUAUUGAUCAAUAGCAUUAUGACCCCUAAUAAUUCAACUAUAAGACAACCCCACUUGAAAGUGAAAGGUUAUGUGGCUCUUUUUGACCGAAUUCCAUUUAUUAAAUAAGAGAAUAUAACCGAAGCUUACAACAUAGCAGAACCCAUCUCCCUGCACCAGACCAAAACAUUUUAGGAGUUUUUGCAUAGGUUCUUGAUUCUUGAAUACUCAAUUUGUUUAUGAGUUUUUGCACCGAACAUCAUCGUCGGCUAAUUCAAUGGCUAUCUGGUGGAUAAGCUGGUGGUGGCAGGCCUGUGCAUUUGUUUCUUCAAGGAGAGAGUGCUAGGGUUUUAUGGAUGGCAGUGGCUUGGGCUGGUGUGUUGGUGAUGGAAAAGGGUUUUCUGCCUCUCUCUUUUUCUGGAGGAAAAGAAGAGUACUGAGCUGUAACUUCCUUAAUUCAUAAAUGUUUGUCUCCUUGCUUUCGGGAAAGAGAAGCUUUGUGUCACCUUUUACUGUUCUGUUAUUUGAAAACAUUUGAAAAAAGAAAGAGGUUUGGACUGUGUGAAUCUGAACGAACGAACAGUGAACUCAGCACUGUUGAAGAUCAGUCAAGAACAAGUCACAAGCCAGUGCCACUGUGGAAAGAAAAGCAUGUCAAAAGUCAUUUAUCUUGAAUUUCGUGCUUUUUUGAGAUUUUUAUUUUUAACAGCGUUUUAAAAAUUGUAUUUGUUUUAAAAAUAUAUUAAAUCUAUUUUUUAAUGUUUUUAAUAAUUUUCAUAUGCUAGUAUAAAAAAUCUAAAAAAAUUAAAAAUUAUUUUAAUAUAUUAUUUUAAAAGCAGCUUCAUAUAAAAAAAUAAAAUGUGUUAAAACACUCUCAUCACAAAAUGUUAAAAGAAUAUAUCUUGCUGUAAUGAUUAAAGCGAGAUGCAUUACUUAGUAAUGAAGAGUAUGAUUUAUACUGUUUAGAAUUAAGGCUGAUAUUUUUAUUUUAAAAAAAUUUAUUUAUUUUUAUUUUAAAUUAAUUUUUUUCAUGUUUUUAAAUAGUUUUAAUAUUAUAAUAUCAAAAAUAAAAUUUUUUAAAAAUAUUAUUUUAAUAUAACAGUGAAAAAGUGUGGGCUUCCAAACCGACAAAGCAACCUCUAUAUACACUCUUAUUGUGUGUGUGUGAGAUACCAUUAACUAUAAAAGACUACUGUGUUUUAUUUACUCACCAUUGUUGCCCAGAGUCCAUAGCCAACAAUUCGUAUCAGAGCUGUUGCCCAACAUUUGUACCCACAGUUACCACCUCUUGACUCGCUUGAACACCAUUUCAUCUCAAUCCAUGGCAACCAUUAGCUUGAAGGCAUCUGUGGACAAGAAGAGCAACAGAGUUGUAUUUGUUGAAUCUGACGAAUUCUUUGUUGAUAUCCUUUUCAGUUUUUUUGACAAUGCCCAUGGGAACAAUCAUCCAUCUCACCGGUAAUCUUUCACCGACAAAUGGGGUUGUUUGCAUGAACAACUUGUAUAAAAGUGUUGAAAAUAUAGAUGCUAUGUAUUUCCGGACUGAAGCAUGCAAUGACAUGUUGCUACAUCCUUAUAAUGCCGCUGCAGCUUAUUGUAAGAGCCUAAAACUGAAAAUUGAUGACAUUGACACUUCAAGUUCUUUUUGUUGCCAGAGUUCCGAAUGUUCUAAUUCUGGCUACAAGUUGUUGAGUCAUUACAAAAAUCUUUAUUGUGGCUGUGGACGUCCCAUGGGCCGUAUUUUGAAUCUAUCAUGGCGGGCUCCAUCCAAUAGUGGAUCUUACGCAAGAAAUCGAGGGGUGUUUGUUGAAGGACUGACCCGAUUUGUUGUAAGUGAUUGUUUUCAAGUGAUGCCAGCAUUGCUCUUCUUACAGAGCUUGGAGUCAUGGAUACAAGUAACAUCGAGGAGAGGAUUUUUGACAUUGGAGUAACAGAGGUAUGAUCGAAUAAAUGAGCUGUUGCAGUAUUGUCUAGCCUUGUGCUAUGUACAGGCACCCAUUUUAAUGUCUCUGUUUUAGGUGGUUGGAAUUGCUGGAGCGCUCAUUGGUAUCAAGGACACCUCUGACCGAAGUUUUGCUUGCUCGUAAGGAAGUUCCCGAGUUAAGAAAUGAAGAUUCCCUUCAAAGAACCUCUCUUAUGCGUGAAAUACCAGAGCACCAAUCAGAAAUAAAUGGUGAGACGUCUGUUAGGCUUGUGGUUUGCAAAUCCAAGAAAGUGGUAUGUUACGCAGAAGCGUCUAAAGAUUUUGUUGAUUUACUUUUUAGUUUUCUCACCAUUCCACUUGGGUAUUUGAUGAAUGAAAUGCAUGGUGGACAAUCAAAAGGAAGCAUCCACCACCUAUAUGACAGUGUCAUUGAUCUCGAUGCACCGAAAUACCUGAAGUCAAAUGACAUUAAAGAGAUUCUUCUAAAUCCUAAGAUUGCACCUGGUUCUGGCUAUAAGAACCAGCCACUAGGUGUUAAGGAAGCUGUUGAUAACCAGCAGUACUACUAUGAUUGGAAUUCUUCCAAUCCACUUAUAAGAACUGAAAGCAAAAGUCCUGUUGGUUAUACACUCCCACUUUUAACUAUGAUGGAUCCCAAAUCACCCUACAAAGAGGGCACAGAAGGUGAUGGAUUUUUGCUAGAUCCUGCAAUGUUCACAAUAAGUGACGAUCUUGUUGUUACACCAAUAUCGCCUGUCUCAGAACUAUCCUUACUGGAAAAAUUGAAGAUACCUUUCAAUGACAUCUAUGUCUGCGAGGUUCAAGUUGGCAGAGAAGAGGUAAGUCAAACGAACUAAUUUCUGCACUCUCUUGUUAGCCAUGAUAUUUAAGUAAUUAUAAAGCUCUUAAGAAAAAUCAGGCCUGUCAACUUCAUGCUUAUGUCUUUUCAAUUUUGUCUUGAUCAGAACUGUAAGUUUAUUUAUUUUUUAUUCUAUUUAUUCAACCAUACAGAUUUGUAGGAUAGAAGUGGCAUAAAAACUAUUUUACCUGUUCUUCUAAGAUCCUUUUUUGUUAAUGGCAUUUGUUAAAAUUCGCAUAAUAACAGUCUCUUCAAACAGGAAUAUUGGUUUGAUGGGCAUUUUUUUUUCUGCUGCAGGCUUCUCGUCUCUUAGCAGCUUCUUUUGUAUCUGAAUCUGCUCUUACUGAUACCUUCCUACGUAAGAUGCCAAAAGAUGCCUUAAUUUCCGAUGUUCUGAAAGAAUAAUCUUGAGGACAUCUGUGUGCUUAAUUGAUCAAGUAUAUUUUCUGGUCAUCUUGAACCUGGUUUUUUUAUUAAUGUGAUAAAAGUCUGUCAUGUGUAGGAGUAAUAUUGAUUCUCAAGACUUCAUGUAAGUCGAAUUAAGGUGCUGCUUUUGCUUCAUAAUACCUAAACUAUAGUUGUUUUCUCUUUUGACUCGUUACUUGGGCGUAUAAUUGCCUGGAAACACAAUUUAGAAAGGGCUUACAGUUUCAGACAAGAUUAAUUUGACUCCAAAUUGGUAGGCAGAGAGUAUCUGAACCACACCGAAUAAAACUCUCACUUGGUGGCAAAGGAUGCUAAUUUCUUGUUUGGAACGUCUCGUGCAUGGUUGCUUCUUUUAUCUCUGAAUUGGAGGUCAGUCAAUAAAAAAUGCCUUCAGCCAUAAAAACUGGAAACGAGAAUACUUGGAUCUUCAUAGAUAUUCUCCCCUUUUCUUCUUUUUUUCCGAUGAAUGAGUAAAAGGAGUCUUAUAAGCAAAACUGAACUAUACCUGUGGAAAUCCACAACAUCGAUGCCUUGGUACUUCAGUGUAUGUAAAACAUAUUUGGUGAUAAAUGGAAACAGAAACUUUCAGAUCAGAUAACCUGAAUCUCUUACUUGGAAAUUGUUUAAAAUUCUGAAGAAUUUUGAAGCAGAGAAGAGACGUGAGACAAUGCAGUAAAACAGAGUUCUGCAUUAUAUUUUCUUAUGCUGUACAUAUGCAUAUAUAUAUAUAUAUAUUUUUGAAGCAGAGAAGAGACGUGAGACAAUGCAGUAAAACAGAGUUCUGCAUUAUAUUUUCUUAUGCUGUACAUAUGCAUAUAUAUAUAUAUAUAUAUAUAUAUACACAAAAGGAAAAACUUGAAGCAAGGAAAGACAAUCCUGCGUAUCCGUUCUCCUAACAAUAUGCUAAUAUUAUAUGUUAAUAAUAAAUACACAAUCAUAUCUAAACUAGGUAACAAAUAAGUUAUACUUGGUAAUAGCAUAAUAAAGAAGAUCUUCAUCGCUUCAGUAUCUUCAAUACUCCCUCCCCUCAAUCUGGAUCCAGUGGAUUGGUGGAUCCAAGCUUGCUUAAUAACCGAUGAAAUUGAGUGAAAGGUAAGGCUUUGGUAAGCACAUCAGCUAGUUGAUCAUGAGAUCGUACAUACUGAGGAUGGAUAAGUUUAGCUUGAACUUGCUAAUGAAUAUAAUGAGAAUCUACUUCAAUAAUCUGUAUUUUUCUACUGUUUUUGAAAAACUUCGCAGCCAAUACUGUCUAGUUAUUGUCCUGAAACUUCUCUGUAGUGCUACAGCCAGAACACAAGAUAUAUUAUCUCUUCCCUUUCUAGUUAUUGUUGUCAACAAUACGAAGCUAUAACCCAAGCCUCAGGGGCUAGAAACUUUACAUUGCUGCCAUACCAUUCAUUUACUUGUACCACUGCCUCAGACAGAGAAUGCAGAAUGCAUGGGGUAUCGAGUUGUCUGUGUUAUAAGUACAUGGUUUUAUGACAAUCCGAAUAUAACUACGAUAUGGAUUUACAUGUUUCUGUGAUAAGUAUAUCCAAUUCCUCUAGUUUAUCCCUUUUUCUUUUUCCUGUCUAUUUCUGCGGGCUUUCCGUCUUAUGGUAGCUUCUUUUGUAUCGGAAUCUGCUCUGACCGAUGUCUUCAUCCCUAACAGCCAAAAGAUGCCAAAUCCGACCAUUGCCGAUGAUCCAGAUGAGCAUUUUUUAAGGCAAUGCAGUGUUAAAUUUAUCCUUUGUAGUUUGGUCUUGAACCACAAUUUUGCUUGUGAGGAUGUUCGCAAAAGUAGUCUACUGCAAGAGGUUAAUAUAAUAUGGACUCAAUCUAGAUGUUCCAAGCCUCUAACAAUAUUAACAUAUUGAUUUCUUAACAGCUUUUGGAACUGCCUUGAGCUUUCAUGGCAGACAAUUAAGUUGAUUCCUUGUUUUUUCAACUGUAAUUUGGUAUUCCAGCGUAAGUUUUUGUACGACAAGGGUGAGUUCACAGGUCUCUUCUCGAUGAUUCUCAUGAUGAAUUAUCGAAUCGCGGGAAAGAUAGAGCCUAAACAUAGCAAUAAUUUAACUUCAGAUCUUAAAAAUCAGUUCAAAAGCAGCAGGAAACAAUAGACAGACAGGUAUCUAUCGUGCAUUUGAGCUAGGAACAAAAUGGCCUGUCUGCACAAAAAGAAAAAGGCCUGCCUGUCAGGGCAACAUUGCCGUGCCCAAGUUACCAUGGUGGGAUGCUGCAUUCUCUGUCAGAACCAAAUUACUUAAAUUUGAUAUUUUUGUCAGGUUAGUUCCUGGAAUGUGGCUUUGCUAGGCCUACGUGUGACCUUAUUGCCAUUUUUUUAAAAAUACUAAUAAUGUUUUUUUAAAACUUUAUUAAUAAUUAUACAAAUAAUACUAAUAAUAAUAAUAAUAAUAAUAUUUUAAUUUUCAAAUCAAAUUUUGGUUAUUUUUCAACAAUCAUAAUAUUUUUUUUAAUUUAAUAAUAAUUAUAAUAAUAAUAAUAAUAAUAAUAAUAUUUACAAUAUUAAUAAUAAUAUUAAACUUGUCUAACCCAAGUUCUUAUAGUUUUUAAUCUCUUCAAAUUGAAUUUAUGGUUUUUUUAUAGUAAUAAUAUUUUUUUUCAAAUUUAAUAAUAAUAAUAUUUUUAAUUUUACCCUUCAAAUCAAAUCUAUGUUUUUUUUAAUAGUAAUAAUAUUUUUUUAAAAAAAUAUUAAUAAUUAUAUUAAUAAUAAUGAAAAUAAUAAUAUAAAUAAUAAUAUUAAACAUAUCUAGCUCAAGUUCUUAAUUUUUUUAAUUUUACCAUUCAAAUUAAAUCUAUGGUUUUCUUCAAUAGUAAUAAUAUAUUUUUAAAAAAAUUUAAUAACAAUAAUAAUAAGAUUCAUAUUCAUUUAGUAUGACAUCCCCUACCAGACUCGAGUAGCUUGAGUUUAAUGCCUCUGCCAGAUCCAAGUUAUUUGGGUCUGUUGGUACUAUAUCCAAAUUCUUUAGUUAUGGCAUCCUCUGUCAGACCCAUGACGUCUAGAUCUAACAACCUUUCCAAAUCCAAGACAGUGUGGUCUCACAGUCAUGUCUAACCUGAGUGUCUAGAGUAUAGUUGCGUUGCCAGACUCGAGUGUCUGAGGUCUGGCAGACAUAUUUGACCCCAGUGCUAAGUAUUUGACAGCCGUAUCAUUCCCUAGCGCUUUAGAAAAACCCAAAAAAAAACCAUUUUGUCCCUAAUUAUUCUCUUAAUACCAAAUAUAUCUCAUAAAAAAGAGAAUCUCAUCCUCAACUACAUGCUUAUCAAGUUUCUUUGGUAAUAAUAAUUACAUCAUUAAACCAAUUCAAUUCAUAGUGAUCUGUCUUGAUGAAUAGUUAAACACUAAUUUCUUUUAAUAUAUUAUAUAAUAUUUACAAUAUAAAAAAGAACUAAAUACAAGGGGAAUAGUAAAAUACGAGAAAUAAUUAAAAAAACAUGAAAGUAUUUUUGUCAUUAUUUCGCGGAUCCUAGUGUUAUACUCUCUCUUUUCACUACUUCUAUCUCUUUUGUAGUUAUUACAGUUAUAAAUUUUUCCAUGUUUCCAUGGCCUGACGACGUUUACUACGAGGUGAAAAUAGCGAGGCUGAAACUUCAUGGGAGCAGGUGUUAAGUGGUAUGCUUUAAAGGUUGAAAAUUAUUUACAACUGUAAUCUCGCAAAUCAUGUUUGGCUGCAUUUAUGCACAAAAGAGCAAAAACACGAAAAUACUUGAAUUUAUCAAUCAUUAUUAAUAGAAAUUAAGCCUUUUGUUAUUUUCACUAUAGCUGAAAUUAUUGUUUAUUCUCUUAUAAAUAAUUGUAGAUUGAAAUUCUAAUUUUUUAAAAAUUUUCAAUUUGAUUCUCGAACAUUUUCUUUACACAAUUGAGCUCUUUUGAACUUGAAUUAGCAUCCAAUUACAUGUUUUUUUUAAUAGGAUACUAGAUUGAAAGAUAAAGGACCAAAAUAAAAAGGACACGAAAAAUAGAUAGCGACUUUGAAUUUGAUACAAAAAAAUUUAUUUUGGUCCCUUAUAUUUUUCAUUUUACAAGUGGUAGAUCCCUUUAGUUUUUAGGAAUUUAAUUUUGAUACCAAAAUUAAUUUCUCUAAUUUUUUUGUUCUUUUUUACAAGAGGAGAAAGAGAUCGCCACUUGAUUCCUACAAAGAGAGAAAAAGUGAUUGUUGACAACAAUAUAACCACCAAAAUGAUUGAAAUUGGUGCUACUGAGUUCCAUUUUCAUUUCAUUUGAGAAUUUUUAUUCAAAUAUUUUUUUUUCUUCUCCUUACUUGAUGAGAUAGAUCUGAUCGUGAGAAUGUUUUUGGAUUCAGGUUGAUUUUGGUUAUUUGAGUUGUUUUUUGGGUUUUAAAAGGAUAUGGAUAGGAUUAUCAAGGUGUUUAUUAUGUUUUUUUUUUAUCAAAAAUAUGUUGAAAAUGAGUUUUCAAAUAAAAAAAACCAACACUCGGUUUUUUCAGCCUUUUCUGGUUUCCAGAUUCUGCACAAAUCAGACGACAAUCUUAUUUAAAAAAAAAAAAAAAACAAAGCUAGGUCCAAGAGCCCGAGUUAGAAGGCUCAUAUGCUUGGGCUAAUGUUUUUUUACCAAUGUGUCGUGGCUUCCUUUUUUUAAAAAAAUAUUGUUAUUUUCUAUCUGAUUUAAAAAAUAAUAAUACAAGAAAUUAUUGAACUUAAUUGAGAUCAUGAACUGGGUUGUAGGUUACAUGGUUCAUCUACAACAUUCUAUCUUCUUUUUUGUACCAUAAUUUAAAAAAAAAAAUCCACCCUUUAUUAUUGAUGAUCCAUUUUUUUAUUUAGCUAAAAACUAAAAAAAUAUAAUUUCAUUAUUUAUUAUCAAUGAUCUACUCUUUUUUUUUUAUGACCCUGGGUGUCCGGGCCAGCUUACGCGCACUACAACUAAUCCCAGGGCCUACUGAACAUCCUGCAAGCCUAGUAGGCAGGUAAGGCACCGCGGGGGUGACAGGCUGGUACUCUUGAGGAUCGAACCCAGAACAUUCACAAAGACAAGCCUUGCAGUUGACCAAUGAACUAGACUCUCAAGUGUAUCAAUGAUCUACUUUUGCUAUAUCAGCAACAUGCGUCUAGCAUGAUUCUUUUCCUAUUAAAAAAAUAUUUUAUAUGAAAAAAUUCUCAUGCGCUUUAUUAUCGUACAAUUAAAUAAAAAUAAUAUUUGGUGUAAAAAAUUUAUUGAAUCUAAUGACAUACAUGACUUGCAUCACGAAUUUAAUUGAUUGACUGGAGUUUACUUGGUAUUUUUUUAAUUAAGUGAUAUUUUUUACCAUUUUCAUCUUUCAACAUUAAGUUAAUUAGAGGUUGAGCUUUUUAUUUUGGUUUUUUCAAGAUUAUUCAUGCAACUCUUGUAUGUCAAUUGAUGUUAAUGCAAUGCAUUUUUAUUUUAAUAUUAAAUAAAAAUAUAGUUCAAUAUAUGAUUAUAAUCUAUUUCUUUACAAAAUACAUUACCAAUAUCCUUCUACAAAAACUUUAGCUUGCAGCUUCUUUUCUUAUCUCAUUCGUUUAUUUUUAUGAGAAAGACUUGUAGAAAAUGAAAUUUGGAAAUUAGUGGAAGUUUAUCAGUACUAUCAAAUGAGAUUAAAACAUGCCACAUGUGGAGAAGAUGAAGCGAUAAUUAAUUAAUUACCCAAGAACUAUACAAGUUUGAUUGUCCAGUACAUUUCAAGAAACAUGAAAACAACCGUGUGCUGAGAGUUCCAUUGGUCAUCACCAUGGCUAGAUAACUGAGCAAAAGGGAAGGGGACGAAUAGCUAACAGGGAGAGAAUGGGCUUUGGUCUCUAACUCUCUACAAAGUCACAAGAUUCGACUCAUCGUGUUACUGAUUAUCAAAUUAAAAAAUAAAACAAAAUCAUUCGCAACACAACAUUCUUAAUCCACACCACGACAAUGAAUCAUAAGGAACUCUCGCUCUGCACUGCAUCACAAUAGCCCUUUUAAACUGCAAAAUGAAAUCCUGAAGUGUCUAUUAGCAUUUUAGAGACAAGUAAUGCCCCACCUCCACUAUAUGCUUAGUGGAAUACCUAAUCUCCACUAACCACAAAGUGGAGGCAACGAUGGGUAUAAAUCAUGACAUGAUUUAUGCCCUUCACUCUUUUUUGUAUGUUAAUAUAUAUGCUCAGUAAAGAACUGGCGUGUGUGUGUUAAUACUGAGAGAAAAAACACAGAGAACAGAGAAGAGAAAGAGAGCUUGAGUGAUUAGAGUUAAGUUGAGAAGAGUUUCUCCUCCUCCUUAGUUUGUAUUGUGUAUUUGAGUGAUUAAUACAAACCAGUAGCUCCGUGGAGUAGGCAAAUUGCCGAACCACGUAAACUUGUGUGUGUUUGAUCACUAGAAUCGCCCAACAACUGGUAUCAAAGCUUGUUCUUGAAAAAGAGGGUGUUUGAUCCAAACUCAAAAAUCAAAGUUCUCCAAACGUGUUUUUGACAAUACCAUCGUGUAGAGGAAGACCAGACGAAUCCACUGGUGAAAACCCGGCAAAGAACAGACGUCCUGCAUGCCUGCACGCGCCAACACACACCGACGUAAGGACUGCCUAUGCGCACCCACGCUCCUUCUUCGCCCGACUGCUUGUAAUCGGGUCGAGUUGACCCGCCUCGUCAUCCGUCCAGUCAGCAAGUUAGCGUAGUCAACAUCCAUCCAGUCAGCAAACUGGGUCAGCACAUGCCACGUCAUCAAUAAAAAUCGGUAUUCUUCUGCCUUGUCAGCAAAAGAUGGGCCUAGCUUGCGUGUCUGACACGUCAUCAGUUCUGGGUUUUGAUCCAGUGCGAUGCAGGCACUACUCCAGCUGACACGCGGCUUCAUCUGCACCGUCCUUUGAUCUAAAACUUUAAUUGCUAAAAUCUAAGCCAUUUGAAGUUCGAUUUGGGUGAUCUCAGUGUCAUUUCCAACAUUUUUGGUCGAAUUUGGCAAAUUGAAAUUGGAAAAGUAUUAAAAAUGGUAGAUGAAAUAAAGGCUGUUGGAAUUGAAAACUUUGACGGAACAAAUUUUGGAUACUGGAAAAUGCAAAUCGAUGAUUAUUUAUAUGGGAAGAAACUUCAUCUUUCCUUGUUAGGGAGCAAACCAGAAAAUAUACAAGAAGAAAAUUGGUUACUUCUUGAUAGAGAAGUUCUAGACAUUAUCCAGUUAUCCUUAUUAAGAAGAGUUGCUCACAAUGUUACAAAAGAAAGAUCCACUGCAAGAUUAAUGGAAGCCUUGUCCGGGAUGUAUGAGAACCAUCGACAAAUAAUAAAGUGCACCUGAUGAAAAAGUUGUUCAACCUGAAGAUGAUCGAAAACACAUCUGUUACAUAACACCUCAUCAACUUUAAUACCAUCACAAAUCAAUUAUCAUCUGUUGAGAUUGAGUUUGAUGAUGACAUUCGUGCACUCAUCUUGCUAGCUUCACUUCCAAGCAGUUGGGAAGGCAUGAGGACAGCCGUGAGCAAUUCAGCUGGAAAAUCCAAACUGAAAUAUGAUGACAUUCGAGACUUGAUUUUGGCUGAAGAAGUGCGAAGGAAUCGGGUGAAAGUUCAAGCUCAGGAUCAGCUCUCAACAUCAACACUCGAGGGAGGAGACAAGAUAGAGGCUCAUCCAGAGGCAGAUCAAAAUCAAGAUACAGAAGUAAAAGCAAGUUUGGAUCCAGAAAGCAGGUUGAAUGUUGGAAUUGUGGCAAACCUGGUCAUUUCAGUAGGAAUUGCACAAAACCGAAGAAACCUGAAGCUGACUCUGCAAACGCUACCACAGAUGAGGUACAAGAUGCUUUAAUUCUUGCUGUAAAGUCAAAUUGAUGAGUGGAUUCUUGAUUCUGGUGCUUCAUUCCACUGUACGCCACACAAUGAAAUGCUGCAAAAUUAUGUUGGAGGAGAUCAUGGUGUAGUCUAUCUGGCCGAUGGAACACCACUGAAUAUUGUGGGUAUAGGAGAUGUGCAAAUCAAGACAAUGAAUGGAUCUAUAUGGACCUUGCAGAAUGUAAGGCAUGUUCCUGAAUUAAAGAAGAAGUUGAUCUCUGUCGGACAACUUGAUGAUAGUGGUCAUUCAAUACUUUUUGCUGGAGGAAUGUGGAAAGUAUCAAAGGGAGCAAUGGUUUUAGCUCGUGGAAAGAAAACCGGCACCCUGUAUAUGACCACAAGAUUUGCAGACAUCAUUGCCUCAACUGAAGCAGAAAAUCAAGCACAGCUAUGGCAUUGUAGACUUGGCCAUAUGAGUCAAAAGGGGAUGAAGAUACUUCAGUCGAAGGGAAAGCUGCCAGAGUUAAAAAAUGUCGAUCUAGACAUUUGUGAAAGCUGUGUUCUUGGAAAACAGAAGAAGGUCAGUUUCUUGAAGGUUGGCAGGACCUUACGACCAAGAAAGCUAGAACUGGUACACACAGAUUUAUGGGGACCGUCUCCAGUAGCAUCUCUUGGAGGUUCUCGGUAUUAUGUGACUUUCAUUGAUGACUUCAGCAGGAAGGUAUGGGUUACUUUCUGAAAAAUAAAUCUGAUGUGUUUGAAACAUUCAAGAAAUGGAAGGCUAUGGUUGAGACUGAAUCAGGUCUAAAGUUGAAAUGCUUGAGAUCUGAUAAUGGAGGAGAAUACAUUGAUGGAGGUUUCAAGGAGUAUUGUGCUGUCAAUGGUAUCAGAAUGGAAAAGACCGUUCCAGGCACACCGCAACAGAAUGGCGUUGCUGAACGGAUGAACAGGACCAUCAAUGAACGAGCUAGAAGCAUGAGGUUGCAUUCAGGGUUACCUCAAACAUUCUGGGCUGACGCAGUUCAUACCGCAGUUUACUUGAUCAACCGUGGACCAUCAGUUCCUUUGGAAUUCAGACUGCCCGAGGAAGUAUGGAGAGGAAAAGAGGUACAACUCUCUCAUUUGAAGGUCUUUGGGUGUGUUUCCUAUGUUCACAUAGAUUCUGAUGCUCGCAACAAGUUAGAUGCCAAAUCCAAGAAAUGUUUCUUCAUUGGCUAUGGAGAUGAAGAAUUUGGAUUUCGGUUCUGGGAUGAUCAGAAUAGAAAGAUUAUCAGAAGCAGGAACGUGAUCUUCAAUGAGAAAGUUAUGUACAAAGACAGAUCAAGUGAGAAACAGAGAUGGCUGAUUCAGAUACAAGUCCACAAAGAUCUGAAUUCAUAAGAUUAGAAGGGCUUCCCGAUGUUACUAAGCAGAACAACAAUCAAGAGUCUUUACAAGAAGAUUCAAGCACAUCUGUGCCCACUACACACAAGAAGAUGCGGAGCAAUUGAACCAGCUGUUCGCAGGUCUUCGAGGACGAUAAAGCCCCCGCAACGGUUCACACUUUUACUGAAUUAUAUUUUGCUGACAGAUGGUGGUGAACCGCUACUUAUGAAGAAUCCUUACAAGAUGGAAACUCAAGCAAGUGGGAGUUAGCCAUGAAGGAUGAGAUGAGUUCGUUGCUGAAGAACAAGACUUGGGAGCUAACACAUUACCUGAAGGAAAGAAGGCCUUGCAAAAUAAGUGGGUUUACAGAGUGAAGACUGAGCAUGACGGAAGCAAACGGUUCAAGGCAAGACUUGUUGUCAAAGGGUUUCAAAAAAGAAAGGCAUUGACUACUCUGAGAUUUUUUCUCCAGUUGUGAAGCUCACAACAAUCAGAGUUGUUCUGGGGAUAGUAGCUGCAGAAAAUUUACAUCUUGAACAGUUAGAUGUAAAAACAGCAUUCCUUCAUGGUGACUUGGAGGAAGAUAUUUACAUGCAACAGCCAGAGGGGUUUGCAAUGCAAGGAAAGGAGAAUCAAGUCUGCAAGCUACAGAAAAGCCUAUACGGUUUGAAGCAAGCUCCAAGACAGUGGUACAAGAAGUUUGACAACUUCAUGUGCAGUUCCGGGUAUACAAGAUGCCAAGCUGAUCAUUGUUGCUAUGUCAAACAUUUUGACAACUCCUACAUCAUUCUACUAUUAUAUGUAGAUGAUAUGUUGAUUGCAGGAUCCAGCAUUGAGGAGAUUGAUAAGCUGAAACAGCAGUUGUCGAAACAGUUUGAAAUGAAGGAUCUGGGAGCUGCUAAACAAAUACUUGGCAUGAGAAUCAUCAGAGAUAAAGACAAAGGCAUACUAAAGCUCUCACAAACAGAGUAUGUCAAGAAGGUUCUCAGCAGGUUUAGUAUGGAUAAUGCUAAACCAGUAAGUACACCACUGGGGAAUCAUUUCAAGCUCAGCAAAGAUCAGUCACCAAAAACUGAGCUAGAAAGUGGAUACAUGGAUAAGAUUCCAUACGCCUCAGCUAUCGGCUCUUUGAUGUAUGCUAUGGUCUGUACCAGACCAGACAUUGCCCAUGCAGUGGGAGUUGUAAGCCGAUAUAUGAGCAAUCCUGGAAAGCAGCAUUGGGAGGCGGUGAAAUGGAUCAUGAGGUACUUAAAAGGUUCAUCGGAAACUUGUCUUAGUUUCACAGCUGGUGGUUUGAAACUUAAAGGUUUUGUAGAUGUUAAUCUAGCAGGAGAUGUUGAUAGCAGAAAGAGUACUACAUGAUAUGUAUAUAUUCUAGGAGGUACUGCUGUUUCCUGGAGUUUUACCUUUCAAAAGAUCGUCGCUCUUUCAACAACAAAAGUUGAAUAUGUUGCAGUCUCAGAAUCUGCAAAAGAGAUCGUAUGGUUGCAGAGUUUCCUGAAAGAAUUGGGCAAGAUGAAUGGAAAAGGUAUUUUGUAUAGCGACAGUCAAAGUGCAAUCUUCCUUGCCAAGAAUCCAGCAUUUCACUCCAGGACUAAGCAUAUUCAAAUCAAAUAUCACUUUAUCCGACAACUGCUAGACGACGAGCAACUAAUGCUAGGAAAGGUCUGUGGAAGCAAGAAUCCAGCUGACAUGUUAACCAAAAGAGUUACACUUGAUAAAUUGAAGUUGUGUAAAACUUCAGUUGGUUUUCAAGGAUAAAAGAUAAUUUCAUUGUUUGUCUCCAAGUGGGAGAUUGUUAGCAUUUUGGAGACAAGUAAUGCCCCACCUCCACUAUAUGCUUAGUGGAAUACCUAAUCUCCACUAACCACAAAGUGGAGGCAACAGUGGGCAUAAAUCAUGGCAUGAUUUAUGCCCUUCACUCUUCUUUGUAUGUUAAUAUAUAUGCUCAAUAAAGAGUUGGCGUGCGUGUGUUAAUACUGAGAGAAAAAACACAGAGAAUAAAGAAGAGAAAGAGAGCUUGAGUGAUUAGAGUUGAGUUGAGAAGAGUUUCUCCUCCUCCAUUGUUUGUAUUGUGUAUUUGAGUGAUUAAUACAAACCAGUAGCUCCAUGGAGUAGGCAAGUUGGCGAACCACUUAAACUUGUAUGUGUUUGAUCACUGGAAUCGCCCAACAGUGUCUGGUUUGAAUCACCAGGAUGUCAAACCCAACUGUAAAUCUAAAAAGGGGUUUUAGCUUUCUAUCACUUGUUAAUAUCCAGUGGAUUUGUGUUUUUGUUGCAGGCUUCACGUCUCUAGGCAGCUUCUUUGAUUUCUGAAUCAGCUUUAACCGACACCGUCAUCCGUAAAGAGCCAAAAGAUACCUUCAUUUGCAAAGUUACAAACCAAGAAUACUGAGAACAUCUUCGUUUGCGUAAUUGAACAUAAAUGAUGGUCCGGUCAUCUUCAACGUCUUCCAAUCAAUGUGAUAAUCCACCUUUCAUAGCUUUGUAUUGACCCAUGACAUGCCUUGUAUAGGUGGUUCCGUUAGUCUUAUUGACUAUCUAGUACAAGACAUUUGUUCGAUUAGGAACUAUAAUCGUGCAUUGCUUCAGAAUUCCUGGAUGAAUGCAGUUGAAGAAUGGCUCGCUGUUGUUUUCUCUAUUCGACUCAUUCUGGCGCCAGACAGGAAAAUGCAACUAAAAAGGGUCUCCCAUUUCAAACUGGGUCUGAAAUAUACACCAAUACAUUUUUCAGGAAAUGAUAUUUUCCAUAAUCAAAGUUUGCACAGAGUAUGAACUAGGCAUCUUCAAGGCCCAAAUCAAGGUAUCUAUUCUGAAUCUCAAGCCAAAACAAAAGAAUAUUUUGACUUCAUAUUGGAUGCUGGGGUGGGCGAACUCUCGUAGCUAUAAGUUAUACAAUCAAAUAGUUGCACACUUUGGAACACACAAGGACCAAACCAAUUUGAGAAAGGAUUGAAGCAGGUGCUAGAUUGAUACACAGUAGUAGUGUGUCAGCUUCUGGAAUUUGUCUAUUUUUGUACUUCUUGUAAUGAAAUUGAACUGCACGGUGAAAUGGUUUCUCUGCAGCACCACCUGUAAUCAUCAGGUUUAUCUGUAAUCAGCCAUGCCAAUCAAGCAACUACAGGGUGCAAAAUGGUCGCUCCACCUUUUGAUGUCCUGUAUAUUAAUUUCUUACGUUGCAGGCUUCCUAUCUCUGAAUUGGCAGUGAAUCACUAAGCAAUGCUUCACUCGUACAAACCUGAAACAAGAACUUUAGAUCUUAUAAGUUUAACUUCUUCUUUUUAACUAGAGUUUUUUUAUGUUUUUUUUUUAAUGAUUUAACUUUGGUUUUUUUUUCAGGUUUUUUUUAAAAAAAUAUUUUGCUAAUUCAAGCUUGUGUAUUUGAUUUUUUUAUUAUUUUUGAAGUUAGCAAGGUUGUCUUUCAAUUUAUUUUUUACAAACAUGUUGUCUAAAAGGUUAUAUUUGGUUAUGCAAGGUGAUUUAAAAAAACAUGGUUAAACUUUUUUUUUAAAAAAAAAAGCAUAAAAAAAUAAUUGAAAAAAUCAAACUGUGAAAAAAAAAAUCGAUUAUAAUUUUAAAAAAAUAGACCGGUUCGAUUCAGAUUCAAUUUUAUAAGCUUAAAAUAAAAAAAUAAAAAAACCGAACCGAACCCAAACCAAAAAUAACAAGAACAAAACAGAAAAAACCAAGUCAAAACAGUUUGAACCGUUUUUUGUUCUAAAAACCAUAACCGAAACCAAUUUUAAUUUAAAAAAAAAUAGUUUGGUUAUUUUUUUUAUAAAAACAAAACUGAACCGAAAAUACUUACCCCUAAAAGCUUGCUCGAAACACAUGAAUGAUCCCAGUAAGAACACUGUCCACCUAAUAAUUGGUUAAUAUCAUCUUAUUAUUGUAAGCAGCAACAUUGGCAAUCAUUUUCUAAAGCUAGCUUCCAGGAUUCAACUUCCUUGUGAAGUUUGGGGUAAUGAUCAAUAGCAUUAUCAACCGUAACUUUUUAUCCACCAAGUUUUGUCGUCCAUGAAUGUUUGUCUCCUUGCUUUCGGGAAAGAGAAGCUUUGUGUCACUUUUACUGUUCUGUUAUUUGAAAACAUUUGAAAAAAGAAAGAGGUUUGGAUUGUGUGAAUCCACAAACGCAAAUGUAUCUGAACGAACGAACAGUGACCUCAGCAAAUCUUUUAGUGUAUUGUUAGUUAAUAUAUAGCUAAUAUGAGACAGUAAUAAUUUCUCCUCUGUUCUUUUUUUAAUUAAAGCUUAAUUUCAAUGAAUCAAGACAAAACUCUAUCUGCAGAAAUCCUCAACGUUGACGCUUUCAGUAUUUUAGUUUAAGCAACUAAGCAAAAUCCAAUGAGUGGUAUAUUAAACAGAGUUCUCCAGAUUUCAUGAUCGGCCGAGUCUCUACCUCACUUUGACCCUUGCUCAGAGUUCCAAUUAAAUUAUUUUAGGAAACUAUGGUGAUUUGAUGAUGCUUACAUGCAGCUGAUAAAAUUGUUGAUGUAAAUUAUGAAAGCCAGAGUUGAUUCCAAAUGAACAAUAUCGAUCCCCUAAAUAUUAAAUUAAACUACAGCAGUUUCCAAUUCACUGCAAUAUCUACUCUGAGGCAAUCCAAUAGCCAAGAACUUACAAUAGUCGCGUAACCGGUUAGUUAAUUGCUUCGUUCUUGAAAGAAUCUUCCAUUAACUUUGAUUGUCUUUCCAUCUUCUCUUAGCUAGAUUGAAUUUCAUGGCCUUUGAUUCCUGUAUAAACUUGGCAAUCUGUUCCACGCCAGCCAUUGCAGGUGUGUUGAUAAGAUCUUUUGACCUUCGUUUUGCAGUACAAAAGACCGAAUUUUCUUGCUAACAGCUAUAGGGUGUCACUGUUGAAGAUCAAUCAAGAAUUUUCUAGAAUUCCUUAGCUGUUAAGGAAACAUUUGCUGGUGUGAACAAGCCACGAGUCAGUGCCGAUGUGGAAACAAAAGCAUGUCAAAAGUCAUUUAUCUGCAAUUUCAUGUAGAACGAAUAAUCUAUUUGUUUGUGAGUUUUUGCAACAUUGCUAAACAUUGCAGAACCCAAACAUUUUAGGAGUUUUUGCAUAGGUUGUUGAUUAUUGAAUAAUCUAUUUGUUUAUGAGUUUUUGCACCAAACAUCAUCGUCGGCUAAUUCAAUGGCUAGGGUUUUAUGGAUGGCAGUGGCUUGGGCUGGUGUGUUUGUGAUGGAAAAGGGUUUUCUGCCAUUUUUUUUUGUUUUUAAUUGCAUUACAAUUAAUUUUCAAGUUUAUUGAAUAUUUUAUAAGUCCAAUAAAUAUAUAAGAUAUCAUAGGAUCGUAUAUAAGUAAGAUUUAAAUCUUGAUGUGGAAGAAAGAAACAAGUUUCUUUAAUCACUGGCCAAUCUGAUGCGUGCCUUGUUUUUUUUUUCUGGAGUAGAAGAGGAGUGAGCUGUAACAGUUAUAGGGUGUACUGUUGAAGAUCAAUCAAGAAUUUUCUAGAAUUCCUUAGCUGUUAAGGAAUUAUUUGCUGGUGUGACCAAGUUACAAGUCAGUGCCAAUGUGGAAAGAACAGCAUGUCAAAAGUCAUUUAUCUUGAAUUUCGUGCUUGUUUCAGAUUUUUAUUUUUUAAAUUGUAUUUGUUUUAAAAAUAUAUUAAAUAUAUUUUUUAAUAUUUUAAAUAAUUCUCGUACGCUAGUAUAAAAAAUUUAAAAAUUAUUUUAAUAUAUUUUUAAAAAAACACUUUCGUAUAAAAAACAAAAUGUAUCAAAACACUCGUCACAAAAAGUAAAAAGAUUGUAUCUAGUUGUAAUUAUUAAAGCAAGAUACAUUAUUUAAUAACAAAGAACAUAAUUUAUAUUUUUAUUUCUAAAAAAUUUAUUUAUUUUUAUUUUAAAUUUAUUUUUUAAUAUUUUUAAAUAUACUUUUAAACCGACCACGCAACAUCUCUUUCUCUUGUGUAAUUUAUUGGGUGCUGUGUGUGGGUGAGAAAAAGAAAGAUAUCCAUGUUCAAACGAAUUGAACUAAGAACGAUUUUUUAUUACAAAAAAAAAAAAAACAAAACUGUAAGUAAAAAGAUUUUUUUUUUUACCCCACUACAUCUUGAAUAUCUCAUAUAUAAACUAUAUUAUAUAUAAAUAUAAUAAAUAAUAAUAUGAUAUUAAAGAGUAUCAUAUUAAUUUAUGAUUAGGUAUGAGUGGUGUGAGAAAUAAUACUAAAAUAAGAGUGUUUAUUGUGUGAGUGUGACAUACCAUUAACUAUGGUGUGAUUUUCAUGUUUCACCACUAAAUAAAAGACUACUGUGUUUUAUUUACUCACCAUUGUAUCCCAGAAUCCAUACCCAACAAUUGGUACCAGAGAUGUUGCCCAAAAUUUGUACCAACAGUCACCACCUCCUGACUCCAGAUUGAUGUUGCCCAAAAUUUGUACCAACAGUCACCACCUCCUGACUCCAGAUUGACGUGUCUGGUUGGCUUGCUUGAACACCAUUUCAUCUCGAUCGAUCCAUGGCAACCAUUAGCUUCAACACCAUUUCAUCUCAAUCCAUGGCAACCAUUAGCUUGAAGGCAUCUGUGGACAAGAAGAGCAACAGAGUUGUAUUUGUUGAAUCUGACGAGUUCUUUGUUGACAUCCUUUUCAGCUUUUUGACAAUGCCCAUGGGAACAAUCAUCCAUCUCAUCAGUAAUCUUUCACCGACAAAUAGGAUUGGUUGCAUGAAGAACUUAUAUAAAAGUGUUGAAAAUAUAGAUGUUAGGUAUUUCCGGACUGAAGCAUGCAAGGACAUGUUGCUGCAUCCUCAUAAUGCCGCUGCAGCUUAUUGUAAGAGCCUAAAACUGAAAAUUGAUAUCAUUGAUGCUUUAAGUUUCUUUUGUUGCGAGAGUUCCGAUUGUACUCGUACUGGCUACAAGUUGUGGAGUCAUUACAAAAAUGUUUAUUGUGGUUGUGGACGUCCCAUGAGCCGUAAUUUGAAUCUACCAUGCCCGGCUCCAUCAAAUAGUGGAUCUGACGAAAGAAAUCAAGGAGUGUUUGUCCAAGAACUGGCCCGAUUUGUUGUAAGUGACUAUUUUCAAGCGAUGCCAGCAUCAACUUCAGCAAGCAUUUCUCUUCUUACAAAGCUUGGAGUCAUGGAUACAAGUAACAUCGAGGAGAGGAUUUUUGACAUUGGAGUAACACAGGUAUGAUCUAAUAUAUGAGCUGUUGCAGUAUUGUCUAGCCUUGUGCUACGUACAGGUACCCAUUUUAAUGUCUUUGUUUUAGGUCUUGGAGUUGCUGGAGUGCUCAUUGGUAUCAAGGACACCUCUGACCGAAGUUUUGCUUGCUCGUAAGGAAGUUCCCGAGUUAAGAAAUGAAGAUUCCCUUCAAAGAACCUCUCUUAUGCGUGAAAUACCAGAGCACCAAUCAGAAAUAAAUGGUGAGACGUCUGUUAGGCUUGUGGUUUGCAAAUCCAAGAAAGUGGUAUGUUACGCAGAAGCGUCUAAAGAUUUUGUUGAUUUACUUUUUAGUUUUCUCACCAUUCCACUUGGGUAUUUGAUGAAUGAAAUGCAUGGUGGACAAUCAAAAGGAAGCAUCCACCACCUAUAUGACAGUGUCAUUGAUCUCGAUGCUACGAAAUACCUGAAGUCAAAUGACAUUAAAGAGAUUCUUCUAAAUCCUAAGAUUGCACCUGGUUCUGGCUAUAAGAACCAGCCACUAGGUGUUAAGGAAGCUGUUGAUAACCAGCAGUACUACUAUGAUCGGGGUUCUAAUUCCACAUUUUC
rnacentral:lncRNA from 1 species